rnacentral:rRNA from 1 species
AUGUGAAGUCGUACCUGCCCAGUGAAGUUUUAACGGCCGCGGUACUCUGACCGUGCAAAGGUAGCAUAAUAAUUUGCCUUAUAAUUGAAGGCUGGAAUGAAUGGUUUGUCAAGGAUAAAACUGUCUCUAUAAAAUUUCAUAGAAUUUUAUUUUUAGGUGAAAAAGCCUAAAUUUUAUUAAAAGACAAGAAGACCCUAUCGAGCUUUAAAAAACUUGAUAAAUAUUAACAACUAAUUAGAAGUUUAAUUAUAAAAAAUUUUGGUUGGGGCAACCUAGGAGUAAAUAAAGCCUCCUUUAUUAAAAAAACUGCUUUGUUAGGAUCCAAAAAUUUUGAUCAAAAGAAAUAGUUACCGUAGGGAUAACAGCAUUAUUUUUUUUGAGAGCUCUUAUCGAAAAAAAAGUUUGUGACCUCGAUGUUGGACCAGAAUAUCCUGAAGAUGUAGAAGUCUUCAAGGGUUGGUCUGUUCGACCAUUAAAAUUCUA